AUUGAACGCUGGCGGCAGGCCUAACACAUGCAAGUCGAGCGGAUGAAGGGAGCUGGCUCCUGGAUUCAGCGGCGGACGGGUACGUAAUGCCUAGGAAUCUGCCUGGUGGUGGGGGAUAACGUCCGGAAACGGGCGCUAAUACCGCAUACGUCCUGAGGGAGAAAGUGGGGGAUCUUCGGACCUCACGCUUUCAGAUGAUCCUAGGUCGGAUUAGCUAGUUGGUGGGGUAAAGGCCUACCAAGGCGACGGUCCGUAACGGGUCUGAGAGGAUGAUCAGUCAAAUUGGAACUGGAACCCGGUCAGGCCUCCUAGGGGGGGCGGAAGGGGGGAACAUUCGCAAAUGGGGGAAAUCCUGCUCAAGAAAGGCCGGGUGGGGGAAGAAGGUUUUCGGAUUGUAAAGCACUUUAAGUUGGGAGGAAGGGCAGUAAGUUAAUACCUUGCUGUUUUGACGUUACCAACAGAAUAAGCCACGGCUAACUUCGUG
rnacentral:rRNA from 1 species